UGCGACCCCAGGUCAGGCGGGGCUACCCGCUGAGUUUAACU
rnacentral:rRNA from 1 species